rnacentral:rRNA from 1 species
CUGGCUCAGGACGAACGCUGGCGGCGUGCCUAAUACAUGCAAGUCGAACGGUCUUUCUAUGGAAGCUUGCUUCCACUGAGAAGAUAGUGGCGAACGGGUGAGUAACACGUGGGUAACCUGCCCAUAAGAGGGGGAUAACAUCCGGAAACGGGUGCUAAUACCGCAUAGUUUUCUUGAUCGCAUGAUUGGGAAAGGAAAGACGGCCUUUGUGCUGUCGCUUAUGGAUGGACCCGCGGCGUAUUAGUUAGUUGGUGAGGUAACGGCUCACCAAGACGAUGAUACGUAGCCGACCUGAGAGGGUGAUCGGCCACAUUGGGACUGAGACACGGCCCAAACUCCUACGGGAGGCAGCAGUAGGGAAUCUUCCGCAAUGGACGAAAGUCUGACGGAGCAACGCCGCGUGAGUGAAAGAAGGUUUUCGGAUCGUAAAACUCUGUUGUCAGAGAAGAACAAGUUGGAGAGUAACUGCUCCAGCCUUGACGGUAUCUGACCAGAAAGCCACGGCUAACUACGUGCCAGCCGCCGC